UACAGAGGUCCCAAGCGUUGUUCGGAAUUACUGGGCGUAAAGGGCUCGUAGGUGGCCAACUAAGUCAGACGUGAAAUCCCUCGGCUUAACCGGGGAACUGCGUCUGAUACUGGAUGGCUUGAGUUUGGGAGAGGGACGCGGAAUUCCAGGUGUAGCGGUGAAAUGCGUAGAUAUCUGGAGGAAUACCGGUGGCGAAGGCGGCAUCCUGGACCAUUACUGACGCUGAGGCGCGAAAGCUAGGGGAGCAAACGGG
rnacentral:rRNA from 1 species